rnacentral:rRNA from 1 species
AACGAACGCUGGCGGCAUGCCUAACACAUGCAAGUCGAACGAGACCUUCGGGUCUAGUUGCGCACGGGUGCGUAACGCGUGGGAACCUGCCCUUAGGUUCGGAAUAACUCCCCGAAAGGGGUGCUAAUACCGGAUAAUGUCUUCGGACCAAAGAUUUAUCGCCUUUGGAUGGGCCCGCGUUGGAUUAGCUAGUUGGUAGGGUAAAAGCCUACCAAGGCGACGAUCCAUAGCUGGUCUGAGAGGAUGAUCAGCCACACUGGGACUGAGACACGGCCCAGACUCCUACGGGAGGCAGCAGUGGGGAAUAUUGGACAAUGGGCGAAAGCCUGAUCCAGCAAUGCCGCGUGAGUGAUGAAGGCCUUAGGGUUGUAAAGCUCUUUUACCCGGGAUGAUAAUGACAGUACCGGGAGAAUAAGCUCCGACUAACUCCGUG